rnacentral:rRNA from 1 species
CCCUUAGAUGUUCUGGGCCGCACGCGUGCUACACUGAGUGGAUCAGCGGGUCAGGUUGCGCGAAAGUGUUUCCUAAUCUUGAAAUCCGCUCGUGAUGGGGAUUGACGGUCGCAAUUUUCCGUCAUGAACGAGGAAUUCCUAGUAAACGCGAGUCAUCAGCUCGCAUUGAUUACGUCCCUGCCCUUUGUACACACCGCCCGUCGCACCUACCGAUUGAAUGUUUCGGUGAAGAUUCCGGAUAGGACUUUUUUGAUUUAUUUCAAUUUUGUCUUAAAAGCUAUCUAAACCUCAACAUUUAGAGGAAGGUGAAGUCGUAACA